rnacentral:rRNA from 1 species
GAUGAACGCUAGCGGCAGGCUUAACACAUGCAAGUCGAGGGGUAACAGGGAGUGCUUGCACUCUGCUGACGACCGGCGCACGGGUGCGUAACGCGUAUGCAACCUACCUUCUACAGGGGGAUAGUCCAGAGAAAUUUGGCAUAAUACCCCAUACGAUCAUUUAUUGGCAUCGAUAGAUGAGGAAAACUCCGGUGGUAGAAGAUGGGCAUGCGUCCUAUUAGUUAGUUGGUAAGGUAACGGCUUACCAAGACAUCGAUAGGUAGGGGUCCUGAGAGGGAGAUCCCCCACACUGGUACUGAGACACGGACCAGACUCCUACGGGAGGCAGCAGUGAGGAAUAUUGGACAAUGGAGGCAACUCUGAUCCAGCCAUGCCGCGUGCAGGAAGACGGCCCUACGGGUUGUAAACUGCUUUUAUACAGGAAGAAACGCCGCUACGUGUAGCGGUUUGACGGUACUGUACGAAUAAGGAUCGGCUAACUCCGUGCCAGCAGCCGCGGUAAUACGGAGGAUCCAAGCGUUAUCCGGAAUCAUUGGGUUUAAAGGGUCCGUAGGCGGUUUUUUAAGUCAGAGGUGAAAUCCUGCAGCUCAACUGUAGCAUUGCCUUUGAUACUGAAAGACUUGAGUUAUUGUGAAGUAGUUAGAAUGUGUAGUGUAGCGGUGAAAUGCAUAGAUAUUACACAGAAUACCGAUUGCGAAGGCAGAUUACUAACAAUAUACUGACGCUGAGGGACGAAAGCGUGGGUAGCGAACAGGAUUAGAUACCCUGGUAGUCCACGCCGUAAACGAUGGAUACUAGCUGUUCGACCAACAUUGGUUGGUUGAGUGGCUAAGCGAAAGUGAUAAGUAUCCCACCUGGGGAGUACGCUCGCAAGAGUGAAACUCAAAGGAAUUGACGGGGGCCCGCACAAGCGGUGGAGCAUGUGGUUUAAUUCGAUGAUACGCGAGGAACCUUACCAGGGCUUAAAUGUAAGUUGCAUAGAUCAGAGAUGGUCUUUUCUUCGGACUACUUACAAGGUGCUGCAUGGUUGUCGUCAGCUCGUGCCGUGAGGUGUCAGGUUAAGUCCUAUAACGAGCGCAACCCCUGUCGUUAGUUGCCAGCAAGUAAAGUUGGGCACUCUAGUGAGACUGCCGGUGCAAACCGCGAGGAAGGUGGGGAUGACGUCAAAUCAUCACGGCCCUUACGUCCUGGGCUACACACGUGCUACAAUGGCCGGUACAGAGAGCAGCCACUCCGCGAGGAGGAGCGAAUCUAUAAAACCGGUCUCAGUUCGGAUCGCAGUCUGCAACUCGACUGCGUGAAGCUGGAAUCGCUAGUAAUCGGAUAUCAGCCAUGAUCCGGUGAAUACGUUCCCGGGCCU